UGGGGAAUAUUGGACAAUGGGCGAAAGCCUGAUCCAGCCAUGCCGCGUGUGUGAAGAAGGUCUUCGGAUUGUAAAGCACUUUAAGUUGGGAGGAAGGGCAUUAACCUAAUACGUUAGUGUUUUGACGUUACCGACAGAAUAAGCACCGGCGAACUCUGUGCCAGCAGCCGCGGUAAUACAGAGGGUGCAAGCGUUAAUCGGAAUUACUGGGCGUAAAGCGCGCGUAGGUGGUUUGUUAAGUUGGAUGUGAAAUCCCCGGGCUCAACCUGGGAACUGCAUUCAAAACUGACUGACUAGAGUAUGGUAGAGGGUGGUGGAAUUUCCUGUGUAGCGGUGAAAUGCGUAGAUAUAGGAAGGAACACCAGUGGCGAAGGCGACCACCUGGACUAAUACUGACACUGAGGUGCGAAAGCGUGGGGAGCAAACA
rnacentral:rRNA from 1 species